ensembl:lncRNA
GUCCCUGUUUGUGGGUGGUGUCUGUGGGUGACUGUAGUGGUGUCACGGUGCUGGUGAAGUCACGGUGUUGGUGAAGUCACGGUGUUGGUGGAGUCACGGUGUUGGUGAAGUCACGGUGCUGGUGAAGUCACGGUGUUGGUGGAGUCACGGUGCUGGUGAAGUCACGGUGUUGGCGGUGUCACGGCGGCCUCCAGGCGCUGGGGCUGGAGCGGGUGUCGCGGGAGGAGCUGG